rnacentral:rRNA from 1 species
CCUACGGGGGGCUGCAGUGGGGAAUAUUGGACAAUGGGGGGAACCCUGAUCCAGCCAUGCCGCGUGUGUGAAGAAGGCCCUCGGGUUGUAAAGCACUUUCAGUGAGGAAGAACGCCUGGUGGUGAAUACCCAUCAGGAAAGACAUCACUCACAGAAGAAGCACCGGCUAACUCCGUGCCAGCAGCCGCGGUAAUACGGAGGGUGCGAGCGUUAAUCGGAAUUACUGGGCGUAAAGCGCGCGUAGGUGGCUUGAUAAGCCGGUUGUGAAAGCCCCGGGCUCAACCUGGGAACGGCAUCCGGAACUGUCAAGCUAGAGUGCAGGAGAGGAAGGUAGAAUUCCCGGUGUAGCGGUGAAAUGCGUAGAGAUCGGGAGGAAUACCAGUGGCGAAGGCGGCCUUCUGGACUGACACUGACACUGAGGUGCGAAAGCGUGGGUAGCAAACAGGAUUAGAUACCCGAGUAGUC